UUUCUUGUAAUUCCAUACCAAGUUUUGAAUUGUUGCUGUUUUAAUGAAGUAUGUUCAUUGAUUUUGCAUCCAUUGGUUUCAGAAUCCAAAUCUGGGGAAAAAAGUACUGUUAGUCUUUCUGAAAUGUCUCUCAAACAUGAAAGCCUAGAGAAAACUUUUUUUUUGAGUAAAACGAAGCCUCCAGGAUGAUCCUUCUGCAAUACAAAUCAUGUGUUUUUCAGACUGAAUGCACUCCCUUUGUUCACCUUUUCAGAGAGUAUCGGCCAGAAUACGAGCGCCUGAGAAAAACACUGGACAGUUCUCUGCAGGCACAGCUACACAGAGUUUGGCUUCCCGGUGCUGCUUAAAAUCCCACCUAGAUGUCCUAGAAAAUGUCCUAGAAUCCCACCUGACUGGAGGUUGCUUUCCAUGCUUAGUCAGAAGUUCUGUGUAACCUGAGUUGAAAUGUAAGACCUGCAUAGUGACUUCUGCUCUCUGACUGGGGGACAGGCUGCUGGGUUUGGGUGAGGUUUCUCUUCUCCUGAUGUUUUAAAUGUUCUCAGAAUCCACAUGGAAAUCUUUGUCUACGGGAGAAAGCUCAAAAUAAACAAAAGAGAGAGCAGCUGGAACACUUGUGGAAGGACAUGGGCAGCGUGUGUGUGCAGGGCAGCACACUGGCAGGUACCUCCCCAGGAAGAUAAAGGUUACUGCAGAAGUUUUCUGAA